UACGGAGGGUGCGAGCGUUAAUCGGAAUUACUGGGCGUAAAGCGUGCGCAGGCGGCUUUGCAAGGCAGAUGUGAAAUCCCCGGGCUUAACCUGGGAACUGCAUUUGUGACUGCAUGGCUGGAGUGCGGCAGAGGGGGAUGGAAUUCCGCGUGUAGCAGUGAAAUGCGUAGAUAUGCGGAGGAACACCGAUGGCGAAGGCAAUCCCCUGGGCCUGCACUGACGCUCAUGCACGAAAGCGUGGGGAGCAAACAGG
rnacentral:rRNA from 1 species